CUUGCUUUGCCUUGGUUCAGGAUCAUCUUGAAUUAUAUAUUCUUUGUACUUCCUUUUGCAAUUCAUAAUGAAGUGGACUGCGUGAAAGCUUAACAAUUGAAACUUAUAUAUCUGUAACAUUGGCCCAAAUUUCCCGGGCCAAAUUUGAAUACAAACCAGCCAAUGACGUGAAGGCGCAUGAGCGAACGUCACGUAAUUGGUCACGCUGAGAGUCACAGAACAACGAACGAAACCAUUAACUAGCGAGUCGAAGAUUGUGUGCAUUUGCAUCCUGACGCAUUUAGAAAUACUUCGACUUGGUUUCCAGCAACUUGUUACAUGUAUUGUGUACGUUAACCGAUUUAAAGGAUUGACUGGAGAUGACUCAGAGGAUAGGAAAGUUUCAGCGUUGUGGCGCUGAAAAGAAAUUCAUUUAGGGUUUUUGAUGUUAUAGUAAUAUUUUGUAGUAAAAAAAAAACUAAUAGGCGCCAUUUUUUAAUAGUGCAGAGCAAAGUGUUUUUAUAGUAAUUAAUACAAAUUGUCAGUAUACACUUUUUAACUCUGAAGACAGACUUUGUUUUAUCCCUACUUACAAGGAAUAUACAGAUGUUAAAUGUCAUGAAAUAAUUGAAUAAAUAAUGUUAAGUUCCCUAGUAAUUCAGUAAUCCAAAACUGUGUUCCAACUGUGUGAUUUCAGUACACUGUUUACUUGUCAACUGCUUUUAAUUCUAAAGGUUCUCUUCAAAACUUCACACAUGGAAGCCCCUGGAUUACGAGCUAAUCCAAAGAAAACUGCAAAGAUGUCCCUGGGUGAAGGAAUCAACAUUCCAAAAAAGACAUUCGAUCGAUUGUCUAAGACCAAAAUGUCAGUGUUUACCCAGGAGCUGGCAGUUGUCAUUUUUGGAUGCAAGGCUCUGGCGACAUCAAGUCUAACGGGCAAAAAAACCAACAAAACAGCGCUGGACUGCAUCAAAGUGAAUGCGCUCCUUGGUAUGUUUGUUGUUUCCUUGAUUUAAACAGAUGACAGCUUAACUAAAUAAAUGUUAACAUAAAAAAGUGCUUCA
ensembl:lncRNA